rnacentral:lncRNA from 1 species
CUAGUUUCUAGCCUCUAUCUAACAACUAUCUGACUUGGGUUUAGAAAUUUUCUUGUAACUUCUCUCAAAUCACUAAUUCUCCAUCAACAUCCCCAUUUAGGGAAUCCUGCCUAACCAAGUCCCAAGGAGGCCAUGUGGUUGUAAAGAGUCUCCUCACAGAUGCUGUGCUCCCUGACUGUCAUCCAAAUAAACUUGAGGACAAGAAGGAAAAAUGCUAUGCAAAGCCAGAAGAGGUGGCCAGACCCCAGGAAUUUAGAAGGCAGAGAAGUCUUCCAGCAUUACACCGACCUCAUUUGUCAUCAUCAUCAUUAUCACCCAAAUCCUCCAGUGUUCUCCAUAUCAAAUCUUCAGCACCAAGAACAGUUCCAUGCACAAACUAAAGUUUAUUGGAAUAGAUUGAAUUGGAAUCAUAAUUGCAGGUAACUCAAAGUUCACUGGAGGAUGAAUGGGUUUGAACAAAGGAAAGAGUUUGUGAAAAGAGGCCAAGUACCAUCAGCAUUAUUUCAAGUACAAACUGCUACUAUUCAUUUUUAGCUGCAUUAAAUCAAUAAAUUCAUUUUUGGAAGCCCCCUUUACA